UAAAGAUAUUACUGAAUGAGAACAGAAAGCUGCUGGUGGAGCAGGCUGGACCACAAGGGUCCUGUGGGAAAGAAAAUUGGUUCUGUGAGGAGGCCAGCAAGAACAUCUGUGUCCCAAGUGCCAAGCAGCAGCAGUGUGAAAUACUCCAGCAGAAACUGGAACAUGGCACAGACCACGACAUGAUCUCCCUCAGAGAGAAGUGCUGGAGGAGGAGCACUGAGUAUGCAUAGGAAAUUUACCACUAUUGCCUCUCAUCCCUAAUAACCAUGGCUGUAAUGGCCUGUAUGCUCUUCCUUUAUUUUGGUUUCUUUGGUAUGAACAGGCCUUAAUUUCAUCUAGCCUCUGGCCCAGGAAGAGUGCACAUUUAAAGGGACUCAGAGAAGUGCUGAGACAUAUCAAGAGCUGCUGGGCAUCCAGGAAGAUUCUGAGAGUGUAAAUUUAUCUUUUCCUGAUGGGUCAUCAUGAAUAAUUACAUGGAGAUCAGUCAACAAAAUUGUAAAAACUUGGAUCCAAGUCUAGAACAUGUGUUCUGCUUUGAUUUGGGAGGCCAUAUCCUUCAGACCCAGACUCCAAAAGGAGAGUGUUGCUUAAAUUUCUCCUGCAAAUAUUGUUACCUCCAGUAACUGCUUUUCUACUAAGUUGCCAAGGACAGCCUCAGGCUGUAAGUCUGUGCUACAAGAUGAGCAGACAAAGAAUUUUGCGUUGCACAAUUUUUUGUGGUUUGAGUUUUGAUUAGUUUAGUUAUUUGGUUUUUCUUGUUUUCAUUCAAAGUUUUGUUAUUUAUUGAUUGUUUGUUUGUUCUUGUAAUUAAUUUGAUAUUUUGAUUAGGCUAUACACAGUACAUAUUGACUGUCAGCUUUCAGUUACAAUUGAGUACAUUGCAUUUAUUCUUAUGACUAAUACAGUGAUCUCCAACUCUUCACUCUUAAGAACCUUGUUAUUUCAGGUGUGAUGUCACCAUCAUGAAAUCCCACAGAUAUCAGACCCAGAUGGAUCUCUGCAUUCUUCAUGGAACUUGGGCUCCAUAAUUUCUUCUCAGUCAGACUGAACUACAAAGUCCAUCAUACAUUCAGUGUGGAGAGUGUGUCCAACUCUCUGGAUAGGAACUUAGUGUUGGAAAACUUACUCAUGCUGCAUCCUUGUUGUCAAAUAUUUAGCUACUAUGAAAAUACUGUGGAUGGUAGUGUUGAACACAUUAAUGGCAAAUACAUCAGUAUUUCUGUAAUAGCUCUCAUUAAAUCAAAGCAUGGUCUAAGGGAAUAAAAAGCUGUCAGAAAACA